CAUUCACUGCAAAGGCUAUCUCUCUUCCACUGAAUUGCUUCUGCUCCUUUGUCAAGAACUAAUUGAGUAUAUUUGUGUGUAUCUCAUUCUGCUUCUCCAUUAACCUAUGUGUCUGAGUCUCUACCACCAUACCGCCAUCUUGAUUACUGUGUAAAUGCCUUUUUAACAUCUCAUUAUUGUUUCUUUGGCAAGGAUUCAGGAGGUAAACACAUAGGCUUGAUCCAUUAUUUUUUUACUAAAAAAUACUUUCUAAAUGUCUUUGUUAUUUUUUUCACUAGCUGUGGUAAAAUUUGUUGAUUUCAUGCAGUUAAAAAUAGUAUAAUGGAAAAAUGGUUUGUUAAUAUUUUAGUUACCAAAACAGUAUAGGAUCUAUAUAUAUUUGAAAAAGAAUACAUAAAUAUGUGACAAAUGCUAAGAGGCUAUAAGAAUAAAAUAAUGCCAAAUCAGAGAAGAAACAAUAUAUUUCCCUAGAAGUGAGGUGGGGGUAAGAGAAAGAUUAAGAAAACCUAACCAGAAAAAAUGACACAUGAACUGGGUUCUCCUAUAUGUAAAGAGGGUGUGAAUAAGGGAAUGAGUAGUUGUUUCACAAGAUUAAUUUCAAACCGUAGCCUCAAAGAACUUCUGCCUCUAGUCAAGAUAGAAGGAAUUGGGUUUACCCUCAUGCCUGAAACAACUAAAAAUAAAAAAAAAAAAAAUGGAUGAAACAAUGGCACAAAAGACAUUGCACAUCAGACAACAAAGGACAGUGAUCCUUCCAAGUUGGGAACAAACAAGAACGUGGAAUACAGAGAAACAGCACUGGACCUUUGUACCAAGGACUCCUGCAGUGGUGUAGGAUUUACUGGAGGACCCAGAGACUCCAUCUGGACCCUAAUCAAUACCGGACACAAUUACAUGCACAUCGCCUGCUAUUCCUGGUUGAUUUGCAAGCCGAGAAAAUCUCUGAGGCAGAAAGUCAGUGAAGAAGUUGGGAAAACCAGAGGCCUGUCUUCUGCAGAAAUCGGAGGAAAAGUAAGUUGCAAAAUUAAUGGAAUGUCUUGGCGUCCAAUAAAGAGUAUGUUAUGCUGCAACAGAGUAGGACCUAUGCAUGUACCUGUUCAUUCACUUAACAUACAGACUCCAGCACUGACAUUUACAGUCCCGUUCAUUGUUCUGGGAACUGGGGAAACAGCAAAGAAGAAAACAAAGUCCUGUUAUUAUGGCGAUUUCAUUCUGGAGAGCAGAAACGGUAAUCUAGUAACUAUAUACAGUAUGUCAAAUAACGAUGAGUGCAAUGGAGAAAGAUAAAGUAGAGUGACGGGAAGGACCCUGUUGGAGGAGGGGGUUGGUUGAUUUGCUGUUUUAUUUUUCAUAGAGUGAUCUAGGAAGGCAUCACUGAUAAGAUAACAUUUAAGCAGCGAAGUGUAAGAAGUGAGAGUGAGCCACGGGUUUGUUAAGAAGAAUGUUUUUGUUUUUGUUUUUGUUUUGUAAAAGGAGCAGCAAGUGAAAGAACUAGGGGCAUUAGUGCAUUUAGUCAACAGGAAGGAGGCCAGGGAGUGCAGACAUCAGAGGACAAAGGGGAGAGCGGUGGGGGAAGAGGUUGGAAAGCUG